AAUCUGGGACAGCUGACCCCAACUGGCCUAAGGGAUAUUCUGUGGCAUGAUGAUCCUGUGGCAUCAUGCUCAGCACAUACAGCUGGAGGAAGAAACCAGAAGGGUGGAACAUUUGAAGGGGUGCCAUUUGUCUGCCCAAGCCACCAUUCAGUGAGAGUAAUGUCUCAGAGAGAAGGAAAUGCAGUGCCCCAUUUUGGAGGAUAUGUUUUCCUAGCUAACAGCAGCACAUUGCAGUUUCCUCUGGAGAUGCAGCACAUCCCAGGAGCAGCUCCCUGUGCUAGUCCCCUUUCAGACUACUCAAAACCACGCAUCAAGGCAGUUUCAGCUAAAUUCUCUCAGCAAAUCAGCAAAUGGUGCUUAUCUAUGAAGCUUGACUUGAUCUAUGUCAAGGCAUCAGGACUUGGAGGAAGCUCCUGGAUACGGAGCUGGAAAGAGGAGAGGCCUUCAAGAGCUGAGAGGAGAUGGUGGGACCAAGCAUGCUGCUCUGAAGGAUUGUGGAUUGUGGUGCUCACCAAUCCUAAGUGGAAAGAUCAGGAGUAGCUUUGGAUGUGACUGUGUAUCCACUGCCUUUGUCUAUUCUACCUGCCCUGUGGAUACCCCCAUACCAUCCCCUCGUUACCUCUGAAGGAGGAAUAUACCACAAAGAGGAGGAAAGAGCUGCUGAGCUCAGCACACCAUGUUCUCCCCUAUCCAUAUAUCAUAUCAGUAUUAAGCUGUGCCUCCCCAGUCUGGAAUACCUGAAUCAGAAACCCACAGUGGUCUCCAAGGACUUCCAGGUUGACUCAGCUGAGACUCUACAGUACA